rnacentral:rRNA from 1 species
GGUUAAGCGACUAAGCGUACACGGUGGAUGCCCUGGCAGUCAGAGGCGAUGAAGGACGUGCUAAUCUGCGAAAAGCGCCGGCGAGGUGAUAUGAACCCUUGACCCGGCGAUGUCCGAAUGGGGAAACCCAGUGCAAUUCGUUGCACUAUCGUUAACUGAAUACAUAGGUUAACGAGGCGAACCGGGGGAACUGAAACAUCUAAGUACCCCGAGGAAAAGAAAUCAACCGAGAUUCCCCCAGUAGCGGCGAGCGAACGGGGAGCAGCCCAGAGUCUGAAUCAGCUUGUGUGUUAGUGGAAGCGUCUGGAAAGUCGCACGGUACAGGGUGAAAGUCCCGUACACGAAAAUGCACAGGUUGUGAACUCGAAGAGUAGGGCGGGACACGUGGUAUCCUGUCUGAAUAUGGGGGGACCAUCCUCCAAGGCUAAAUACUCCUGACUGACCGAUAGUGAACCAGUACCGUGAGGGAAAGGCGAAAAGAACCCCGGCGAGGGGAGUGAAAAAGAACCUGAAACCGUGUACGUACAAGCAGUGGGAGCACCUUCGGGUGUGACUGCGUACCUUUUGUAUAAUGGGUCAGCGACUUAUAUUCUGUAGCAAGGUUAACCGUAUAGGGGAGCCGAAGGGAAACCGAGUCUUAACUGGGCGUUAAGUUGCAGGGUAUAGACCCGAAACCCGGUGAUCUAGCCAUGGGCAGGUUGAAGGUUGGGUAACACUAACUGGAGGACCGAACCGACUAAUGUUGAAAAAUUAGCGGAUGACUUGUGGCUGGGGGUGAAAGGCCAAUCAAACCGGGAGAUAGCUGGUUCUCCCCGAAAGCUAUUUAGGUAGCGCCUCGUGAACUCAUCUUCGGGGGUAGAGCACUGUUUCGGCUAGGGGGCCAUCCCGGCUUACCAACCCGAUGCAAACUACGAAUACCGAAGAAUGUUAUCACGGGAGACACACGGCGGGUGCUAACGUCCGUCGUGAAGAGGGAAACAACCCAGACCGCCAGCUAAGGUCCCAAAGUCAUGGUUAAGUGGGAAACGAUGUGGGAAGGCCCAGACAGCCAGGAUGUUGGCUUAGAAGCAGCCAUCAUUUAAAGAAAGCGUAAUAGCUCACUGGUCGAGUCGGCCUGCGCGGAAGAUGUAACGGGGCUAAACCAUGCACCGAAGCUGCGGCAGCGACACUAUGUGUUGUUGGGUAGGGGAGCGUUCUGUAAGCCGUUGAAGGUGGCCUGUGAGGGUUGCUGGAGGUAUCAGAAGUGCGAAUGCUGACAUAAGUAACGAUAAAGCGGGUGAAAAGCCCGCUCGCCGGAAGACCAAGGGUUCCUGUCCAACGUUAAUCGGGGCAGGGUGAGUCGACCCCUAAGGCGAGGCCGAAAGGCGUAGUCGAUGGGAAACAGGUUAAUAUUCCUGUACUUGGUGUUACUGCGAAGGGGGGACGGAGAAGGCUAUGUUAGCCGGGCGACGGUUGUCCCGGUUUAAGCAUGUAGGCGGAGGUUCCAGGUAAAUCCGGUACCUUUUUAACGCUGAGGUGUGAUGACGAGGCACUACGGUGCUGAAGUAACAAAUGCCCUGCUUCCAGGAAAAGCCUCUAAGCAUCAGGUAACAUCAAAUCGUACCCCAAACCGACACAGGUGGUCAGGUAGAGAAUACCAAGGCGCUUGAGAGAACUCGGGUGAAGGAACUAGGCAAAAUGGUGCCGUAACUUCGGGAGAAGGCACGCUGAUAUGUAGGUGAAGCCCCUGCGGGUGGAGCUGAAAUCAGUCGAAGAUACCAGCUGGCUGCAACUGUUUAUUAAAAACACAGCACUGUGCAAACACGAAAGUGGACGUAUACGGUGUGACGCCUGCCCGGUGCCGGAAGGUUAAUUGAUGGGGUUAGCGGCAACGCGAAGCUCUUGAUCGAAGCCCCGGUAAACGGCGGCCGUAACUAUAACGGUCCUAAGGUAGCGAAAUUCCUUGUCGGGUAAGUUCCGACCUGCACGAAUGGCGUAAUGAUGGCCAGGCUGUCUCCACCCGAGACUCAGUGAAAUUGAACUCGCUGUGAAGAUGCAGUGUACCCGCGGCAAGACGGAAAGACCCCGUGAACCUUUACUAUAGCUUGACACUGAACACUGGUCCUUGAUGUGUAGGAUAGGUGGGAGGCUUUGAAGCGUGGACGCCAGUCUGCGUGGAGCCAACCUUGAAAUACCACCCUUUAAUGGCUGGUGUUCUAACGUAGACCCGUAAUCCGGGUUGCGGACAGUGUCUGGUGGGUAGUUUGACUGGGGCGGUCUCCUCCCAAAGAGUAACGGAGGAGCACGAAGGUUAGCUAAUCCUGGUCGGACAUCAGGAGGUUAGUGCAAUGGCAUAAGCUAGCUUGACUGCGAGAGUGACGGCUCGAGCAGGUGCGAAAGCAGGUCAUAGUGAUCCGGUGGUUCUGAAUGGAAGGGCCAUCGCUCAACGGAUAAAAGGUACUCCGGGGAUAACAGGCUGAUACCGCCCAAGAGUUCAUAUCGACGGCGGUGUUUGGCACCUCGAUGUCGGCUCAUCACAUCCUGGGGCUGAAGUAGGUCCCAAGGGUAUGGCUGUUCGCCAUUUAAAGUGGUACGCGAGCUGGGUUUAGAACGUCGUGAGACAGUUCGGUCCCUAUCUGCCGUGGGCGCUGGAGAAUUGAGGGGGGCUGCUCCUAGUACGAGAGGACCGGAGUGGACGCAUCACUGGUGUUCGGGUUGUCAUGCCAAUGGCACUGCCCGGUAGCUAAAUGCGGAAGAGAUAAGUGCUGAAAGCAUCUAAGCACGAAACUUGCCCCGAGAUGAGUUCUCCCUGAGACUUAAAGUCUCCUGAAGGAACGUUGAAGACGACGACGUUGAUAGGUCGGGUGUGUAAGCGCAGCGAUGCGUUGAGCUAACCGAUACUAAUGAACCGUGAGGCUUAACCUU